ACCUCUUCAAUCCAGGAGUCAGAGGGUGGUUAUGCUGAAGCUGGAGCAGUGAAGUGGUGGAGAAAUGGCAGCAUCAGAGGCACCAGAACCAAGAGCAUAAGACUGAGAGGAGUGGUAGGCUACCCAGUCCACAGAGCUGUGAUGCAAAUCUUCACCAUGAGAUAAAGGCUAUCCUCAGAGAUGACAAAACAACAAGACAGAAAGCAGCCCAGGAUUCUGAUACCAGCAUGUCAUAGCAGUUCUGGAAUCCAUCCCAAGAUUACUGUGUGAGAACGAAAUAAAAUUCUGUCUUUUAAAAUUCA